rnacentral:rRNA from 1 species
AUGAACGCUGGCGGCAGGCCUAACACAUGCAAGUCGAACGGAGUUAUAUUGUAGCUUGCUAUGGUAUAACUUAGUGGCAGACGGGUGAGUAAUGUAUAGGAAUCUACCUAGUAGUACGGAAUAAUUGUUGGAAACGGCAACUAAUACCGUAUACGCCCUACGGGGGAAAAAUUUAUUGCUAUUAGAUGAGCCUAUAUUAGAUUAGCUAGUUGGUGGAGUAAUAGCCUACCAAGGCAAUGAUCUAUAGCUGAUCUGAGAGGAUGAUCAGCCACACUGGAACUGAGAUACGGUCCAGACUCCUACGGGAGGCAGCAGUGGGGAAUAUUGGACAAUGGGCGAAAGCCUGAUCCAGCCAUGCCGCAUGAGUGAAGAAGGCCCUUGGGUUGUAAAGCUCUUUUAGUGAGGAAGAUAAUGACGGUACUCACAGAAGAAGUCCUGGCUAACUCCGUGCCAGCAGCCACGGUAAUACGGAGAGGGCUAGCGUUAUUCGGAAUUAUUGGGCGUAAAGGGCGCGUAGGCGGAUUAGUAAGUUAAAAGUGAAAUCCCAAGGCUCAACCUUGGAAUUGCUUUUAAAACUGCUAAUCUAGAGAUUGAGAGAGGAUAGAGGAAUUCCUAGUGUAGAGGUGAAAUUCGUAAAUAUUANGAGGAACACCAGUGGCGAANGCGUCUAUCUGGUUCAAAUCUGACGCUGANGGCCGAAG